UACGAAGGGGGCUAGCGCUGCUCGGAAUUACUGGGCGUAAAGGGCGCGUAGGCGGAUGUUUAAGUCGGGGGUGAAAGCCCGGGGCUCAACCUCGGAAUUGCCUUCGAUACUGGACAUCUUGAGUACGGGAGAGGUGAGUGGAACUCCGAGUGUAGAGGUGAAAUUCGUAGAUAUUCGGAAGAACACCAGUGGCGAAGGCGACUCACUGGCCCGUUACUGACGCUGAGGCGCGAAAGCGUGGGGAGCAAACAGG
rnacentral:rRNA from 1 species